GUAGGAGGCGAGCGUUAUCCGGAUUCACUGGGCGUAAAGCGCGUGCAGGUGGUUCGGUAAGUUGGGCGUGAAAUCUCCCGGCUCAACUGGGAGAGGUCGUCCAAUACUACCAAACUUGAGAGCAGAAGAGGAAGAUGGAAUUCCCGGUGUAGUGGUGAAAUGCGUAGAUAUCGGGAGGAACACCAGUGGCGAAGGCGAUCUUCUGGUCUGUUUCUGACACUCAGACGCGACAGCUAGGGUAGUAAACGGGAUUAGAGACCCCGGUAAUCCUAGCCGUAAACGAUGUGAACUUGGCGUUGGUGGGUUAAACUCCAUCAGUGCCGAAGCAAACGCGAUAAGUUCACCGCCUGGGGACUACGGCCGCAAGGUUA
rnacentral:rRNA from 1 species